AUAUAUAUAUAUAACCACUUAGGUAAUUAACAAAUGAGCCAGCCAUAAUGACUAAACCCCAAAUGAAAGUUAAACAAAAUGAAGGAGUAAUAAGUUCCACAAUACGAUAACAAAUUCAGAGUGUUUGCAGCGGAAAAACGUGUGAGUUAUGCAUAUGGAGAUGCAUACUCAAGGUUUCAUUACAUAAACAUCAAAAGGGAAAUCCGCUCAACACCGAUCCAUUCCAUCGCCUGCUCAACCUGCACAUUUAGAAAUACAUGCAGGGCUGAGUAUAAAAAUACUCAGUGACAUAAGCCGAAAAUACAACAUGCAUACAUAUAUAAAUUGAACUGCCAUAACAGUAACACACAGGGGUUUUCAUAAAUGACCUGCGCUUACUAAAACAUUUCGUUCAUUUUCAUAAAGGUGGAUGCAUCCCAUUUUCAGUCUAUAUGAUCCAUAUCUGUCCUUUCUGUCACGCGCCGGGAAGGAGGCCUCCUUACCACGGACGCCAAGACCGGUCGCAAGCGACUCGCGGUCUCCAUGAGUGUACACGUUAACCCUAGCUAGCGACCUUUGUCUAGCAUAGGAUCCCAAUUGGAUUUCCUUUAAAGUUGGCGAACCAACACAGAUAGGAUACAUAUAAAAACAUAAACAUUUUGGCAGUCAAUCAUUUCAUAAACAUUUCAUUUUCAUAACAUUUUCAUUUUCAUAAAGGGCAUUAAACAUAUAAGGCAUUUAAUAAGAAACUGAAUAAAUAGUCAAAACAUAUCAUGCAUAUAUAUUCGCAUAUGAGGCCUACGUCACGCAGGGGAUCUCUAUAUACGUAAUAAUAAAAUAAUGCCCACCUCAAUUGUUCUUAAAGCUGGCGUGGAGUCGUUUCUUCUUCUG
rnacentral:lncRNA from 1 species